rnacentral:rRNA from 1 species
GACGAACGCUGGCGGCGUGCUUAACACAUGCAAGUCGAGCGGUAAGGCCCUUUCGGGGUACGACGAGCGGCGAACGGGUAGAGUAACACGUGGGUGGACCUCGCCCUCCAGCUCUGGGAGUAAGACCUCGGGAAACCGGGGUACUAAUACCGGAUAUGACUCCAUGACGCAUGUUGUGGGGUGGAAAGCCUUGUGCGGCUGAGGAUGGGCCCGGCGGCCUAUCAGCUUGUUGGUGGGGU